rnacentral:rRNA from 1 species
AGAACGAACGCCGGCGGCAGGUCUUAGGCAUGCAAGUCGAACGGAUGACAAGGGAGCUUGCUUCCUUGAAGUCAGUGGCGCACGAGUGAGUAACGCGUGGGAAACUGCCCUUCACUGGGGAAUAACGUUUGGAAACGAACGCUAAUACCGCAUACGCCCGCAAGGGGAAAGAUUUAUCGGUGAUGGAUGUGCCCGCGUUGGAUUAGCUAGUUGGUGGGGUAAUGGCCUACCAAGGCGAUGAUCCAUAGCUGGUCUGAGAGGACGAUCAGCCACGCUGGAACUGAGACACGGUCCAGACUCCUACGGGAGGCAGCAGCUAAGAAUAUUGGGCAAUGGAGGAAACUCUGACCCAGCCCAUGCCGCGUGAAUGAAGAAGGCCUUCGGGUUGUAAAGUUCUUUUAGUCAUGAAGAUGAUGACAGUAGUGGCAGAAAAAGCACCGGCUAACUUCGUGCCAGCCGCGGC